rnacentral:rRNA from 1 species
AACGAACGCUGGCGGCGUGGAUAAGACAUGCAAGUCGAACGGGAGAAUUGCUAGCUUGCUAAUAAUUCUCUAGUGGCGCACGGGUGAGUAACACGUGAGUAACCUGCCUCUUAGUGGGGGAUAGCCCUGGGAAACCGGGAUUAAUACCGCAUACGAUUGAAAGAUCAAAGCAGCAAUGCGCUAGGAGAUGGGCUCGCGGCCUAUUAGUUAGUUGGUGAGGUAACGGCUCACCAAGGCGAUGACGGGUAGCCGGUCUGAGAGGAUGUCCGGCCACACUGGAACUGAGACACGGUCCAGACACCUACGGGUGGCAGCAGUCGAGAAUCAUUCACAAUGGGGGCAACCCUGAUGGUGCGACGCCGCGUGGGGGAAUGAAGGUCUUCGGAUUGUAAACCCCUGUCAUGUGGGAGCAAAUUAAAAAGAUAGUACCACAAGAGGAAGAGACGGCUAACUCUGUGCCAGCAGCCGCGGUAAUACAGAGGUCUCAAGCGUUGUUCGGAAUCACUGGGCGUAAAGCGUGCGUAGGCUGUUUCGUAAGUCGUGUGUGAAAGGCAGGGGCUCAACCCCUGGAUUGCACAUGAUACUGCGAGACUAGAGUAAUGGAGGGGGAACCGGAAUUCUCGGUGUAGCAGUGAAAUGCGUAGAUAUCGAGAGGAACACUCGUGGCGAAGGCGGGUUCCUGGACAUUAACUGACGCUGAGGCACGAAGGCCAGGGGAGCGAAAGGGAUUAGAUACCCCUGUAGUCCUGGCAGUAAACGGUGCACGCUUGGUGUGCGGGGAAUCGACCCCCUGCGUGCCGGAGCUAACGCGUUAAGCGUGCCGCCUGGGGAGUACGGUCGCAAGAUUAAAACUCAAAGAAAUUGACGGGGACCCGCACAAGCGGUGGAGUAUGUGGCUUAAUUCGAUGCAACGCGAAGAACCUUACCUGGGCUUGACAUGUAAUGAACAACAUGUGAAAGCAUGCGACUCUUCGGAGGCGUUACACAGGUGCUGCAUGGCCGUCGUCAGCUCGUGUCGUGAGAUGUUUGGUUAAGUCCAGCAACGAGCGCAACCCCUGUUGCCAGUUACCAUCGAGUAAUGUCGGGGACUCUGGCGAGACUGCCCAGAUCAACUGGGAGGAAGGUGGGGACGACGUCAGGUCAGUAUGGCCCUUAUGCCCAGGGCUGCACACGUACUACAAUGCCCAGUACAGAGGGGGCCGAAGCCGCGAGGCGGAGGAAAUCCUGAAAACUGGGCCCAGUUCGGACUGUAGGCUGCAACCCGCCUACACGAAGCCGGAAUCGCUAGUAAUGGCGCAUCAGCUACGGCGCCGUGAAUACGUUCCCGGGUCUUGUACA